GCAUGCGCCCGCCGCCCG
rnacentral:snRNA from 1 species